rnacentral:rRNA from 1 species
CUUGACACUGAACAUUGAGCCUUGAUGUGUAGGAUAGGUGGGAGGCUUUGAAGCGUGGACGCCAGUCUGCGUGGAGCCAACCUUGAAAUACCACCCUUUAAUGUUUGAUGUUCUAACGUAGGCCCCUUAUCGGGGUUGCGGACAGUGUCUGGUGGGUAGUUUGACUGGGGCGGUCUCCUCCCAAAGAGUAACGGAGGAGCACGAAGGUUAGCUAAUCCUGGUCGGACAUCAGGAGGUUAGUGCAAUGGCAUAAGC